rnacentral:rRNA from 1 species
AUUGAACGCUGGCGGCAUGCCUAACACAUGCAAGUCGCACGCGAAAGGGGGCAACCCCGAGUAGAGUGGCGGACGGGUGCGUAACGCGUAGGAAUAUACCUGGUAGUGGGGGACAACCCGGCGAAAGCCGGGCUAAUACCGCAUACGAUCCACGGAUGAAAGCAGGGGACCGCAAGGCCUUGCGCUAUCAGAUUAGCCUGCGUCGGAUUAGCUAGUUGGUGAGGUAAAGGCUCACCAAGGCAACGAUCCGUAGCUGGUUUGAGAGAACGACCAGCCACACUGGGACUGAGACACGGCCCAGACUCCUACGGGAGGCUGCCUGAGACGCCAAGGCACACAGGGGAUAGG